GAUGAACGCUAGCGGCAGGCUUAACACAUGCAAGUCGAGGGGUAUAGUAGCAAUACUAGAGACCGGCGCACGGGUGCGUAACGCGUAUGCAACCUACCUUGAACAGGGGGAUAGCCCAGAGAAAUUUGGAUUAAUACCCCAUGGUAUAUUGAUGUGGCAUCACAUUAUUAUUAAAGUUCCAACGGUUCAAGAUGGGCAUGCGUCCCAUUAGCUAGAUGGUAAGGUAACGGCUUACCAUGGCGACGAUGGGUAGGGGUCCUGAGAGGGAGAUCCCCCACACUGGUACUGAGACACGGACCAGACUCCUACGGGAGGCAGCAGUGGGGAAUAUUGCACAAUGGGCGCAAGCCUGAUGCAGCGACGCCGCGUGAGGGAUGACGGCCUUCGGGUUGUAAACCUCUUUCACCAGGGACGAAGCGUGAGUGACGGUACCUGGAGAAGAAGCACCGGCCAACUACGUG
rnacentral:rRNA from 1 species